AAAUAUCCUGCGUUGAUACAGAGAAGAUCGUAUUGCUAAUUGCACACGGGGUAAACUCGUGAGAGUUAUGUCUUAAGAACAACCAACGUGACUCCUGCUAAGGUUGGGUGUUACAGAGUUCAUCAGAAUUAUUCAAGUGACGCUCUGGCUGGUCAUCAGAACCCACGAUACCCUCACUCAGAUGUAUUUAAGACCAGUAGCUGCUGGCUGUGGUGGACACAUGGAUUGUGACACUGCUGAGGAGGAACUAGCUGAAGGUGCACCCCUGGGAGGACGCACUUCAUGCCAAAUAAGGAAUGUCACAUGUUGGUUAUCUGAACUUCAUUUCCUGGGUAACGAAAAGUGGACCAUGACUGUGUUGGAAGAGACUCUGCAUAAGGUGAACAUCUCUCUGGUAAGCACAGGUGGGACAAAAGGAGGUUGGAUGGAGGUUUUAGACAAAGUGAAGUGCUAGC
rnacentral:lncRNA from 1 species